UUGACUCGGAUCAGGUAGG
rnacentral:rRNA from 1 species